rnacentral:rRNA from 1 species
AACGGUAGCAGGACUAGCUUGCUAGUUGCUGACGAGUGGCGGACGGGUGAGUAACGCGUAGGGAUCUACCUAGCAAUGGGGGAUAGCCCGGUGAAAACCGGAUUAAUACCGCAUACGUCCUAUGGGAGAAAGGGUGCGACUUCUUCGGAAAGCACUCGUUGUUAGAUGAACCUGCGUCGGAUUAGCUAGUUGGUGGGGUAAGGGCCUACCAAGGCGACGAUCCGUAGCUGGUCUGAGAGGAUGACCAGCCACACUGGGACUGAGACACGGCCCAGACUCC